GACGAACGCUGGCGGCGUGCUUAACACAUGCAAGUCGAGCGGUAAGGCCCUUUCGGGGGUACACGAGCGGCGAACGGGUGAGUAACACGUGGGUGACCUGCCCUCAGCUCUGGGAUAAGCCUGGGAAACUGGGUCUAAUACCGGAUAUGACUUCGCAUCGCAUGGUGUGGGGUGGAAAGUUUUUCGGCUGGGGAUGGGCCCGCGGCCUAUCAGCUUGUUGGUGGGGUGAUGGCCUACCAAGGCGACGACGGGUAGCCGGCCUGAGAGGGCGACCGGCCACACUGGGACUGAGACACGGCCCAGACUCCUACGGGAGGCAGCAGUGGGGAACAUUGCGCAAUGGGCGGAAGCCUGACGCAGCGACGCCGCGUGGGGAUGACGGCCUC
rnacentral:rRNA from 1 species